rnacentral:rRNA from 1 species
CAUUGCCGGGUAGCUAUGUCGGGAAGCGAUAACCGCUGAAAGCAUAUAAGCGGGAAGCGUGCUCCAAGAUUAGGAAUCGUUAUGAGGCCCCUCGGAGAUGACGAGGUUGAUAGGCUCUAGGUGGAAGCGCCGCGAGGCGUGCAGCCGAGGAGUACUAAUACGCCCAGUCUCUCGUGCGG